rnacentral:rRNA from 1 species
UACGGAGGGUGCAAGCGUUAUCCGGAUUCACUGGGUUUAAAGGGUGCGUAGGUGGGCUGGUAAGUCAGUGGUGAAAUCUCCAGGCUUAACUUGGAAACUGCCAUUGAUACUAUCAGUCUUGAAUACCGUGGAGGUCAGCGGAAUAUGUCAUGUAGCGGUGAAAUGCUUAGAUAUGACAUAGAACACCAAUUGCGAAGGCAGCUCGUUACACGAAUAUUGACUCUGAGGCACGAAAGCGUGGGGAUCAAACAGG